rnacentral:rRNA from 1 species
GUAGGUGGCAAGCGUUGUCCGGAAUUAUUGGGCGUAAAGCGCGCGCAGGCGGUCCUUUAAGUCUGAUGUGAAAGCCCACGGCUCAACCGUGGAGGGUCAUUGGAAACUGGGGGACUUGAGUACAGAAGAGGAAAGCGGAAUUCCAAGUGUAGCGGUGAAAUGCGUAGAGAUUUGGAGGAACACCAGUGGCGAAGGCGGCUUUCUGGUCUGUAACUGACGCUGAGGCGCGAAAGCGUGGGGAGCAAACAGGGAUUAGAUACCCUGGUAGUCCACGCCGUAAACGAUGAGUGCUGAGUGUUAGGGGUUCCGCCCCUUAGUGCUGCAGCUAACGCAUUAAGCACUCCGCCUGGGGAUACGGCCGCAAGGCUG